rnacentral:rRNA from 1 species
CCUACGGGAGGCAGCAGUGAGGAAUAUUGGUCAAUGGCCGGAAGGCUGAACCAGCCAUGCCGCGUGAAGGUCAGUGCCCUAUGGGCGUUAAACUUCUUUUGUGCGGGAGCAAUAAUGGUCACGUGUGGCCAGACGAGAGUACCGUACGAAUAAGCAUCUGCUAACUCCGUGCCAGCAGCCGCGGUAAUACGGGGGAUGCAAGCGUUAUCCGGAGUUAUUGGGUUUAAAGGGUGCGUAGGCUGUGAGGUAAGUCAGCGGUGAAAUGCCCCCGCUCAACGGGGUGAAGUGCCAUUGAUACUGCCUGGCUGGAAUGCGGAUGCAGUGGGAGGAAUGUGUGGUGUAGCGGUGAAAUGCAUAGAUAUCACACAGAACACCGAGUGCGAAGGCAUCUCACGAAUCCGCGAUUGACGCUGAUGCACGAAAGCGUGGGUAUCAAACAGGAUUAGAUACCCGAGUAGUC